UCCCUGUCGCCAGGUGGCNUCCCUUUGUCCACGCCAUUGUAACACGUGUGUCGCCCCGGAUGUAAGGGCCGUGCUGAUUUGACGUCAUCCCCGCCUUCCUCGCAGCUUACGCUGGCAGUCCCACCAGAGUCCUCAGCUUUACCUGUUAGUAACUAGUGGCAAGGGUUGCGCUCGUUAUGGCACUUAAGCCGACACCUCACGGCACGAGCUGACGACAACCAUGCAGCACCUCGCAAACGGCUAUUGCUAGAAAAGGUGUUUCCACCUCGGUCCGAAUGCGUUCAAACCCGGGUAAGGUUCCUCGCGUAUCAUCGAAUUAAACCACAUGUUCCUCCGCUUGUGCGGGCCCCCGUCAAUUCCUUUGAGUUUCACCGUUGCCGGCGUACUCCCCAGGUGGAUCACUUAACGCUUUCGCUGUGCCGCUUACACNUGUAUCGCAAACAGCUAGUGAUCAUCGUUUACUGCGUGGACUACCAGGGUAUCUAAUCCUGUUUGAUCCCCACGCUUUCGUGCAUCAGCGUCAGUCAUGGCUUGGCAGGCUGCCUUCGCAAUCGGGGUUCUGCGUGAUAUCUAAGCAUUUCACCGCUACACCACGCAUUCCGCCUGCCUCAAACAUACUCAAGCCUCCCAGUUUCAACGGCAAUUCUAUGGUUGAGCCACAGACUUUCACCGCUGACUUAAAAGGCCGCCUACGCACCCUUUAAACCCAAUAAAUCCGGAUAACGCUCGGAUCCUCCGUAUUACCGCGGCUGCUGGCACGGAGUUAGCCGAUCCUUAUUCAUAAGGUACAUACAAAACGGGACACGUCCCGCACUUUAUUCCCUUAUAAAAGAGGUUUACGAUCCAUAGAACCUUCAUCCCUCACGCGACUUGGCUGGUUCAGGCUUACGCCCAUUGACCAAUAUUCCUCACUGCUGCCUCCCGUAGGAGUUUGGUCCGUGUCUCAGUACCAAUGUGGGGGACCUUCCUCUCAGAACCCCUAUCCAUCGUCGGUUUGGUGGGCCGUUACCCCGCCAACUGCCUAAUGGAACGCAUG
rnacentral:rRNA from 1 species